rnacentral:tRNA from 1 species
GUGGCCAUUGUCUAACAGAUAAGACAGAGGUUUCUAAAACUUUGGUAUAGGUUCUAAUCCUAUUGACACA